rnacentral:rRNA from 1 species
GACGAACGCUGGCGGCGUGCUUAACACAUGCAAGUCGAACGGAAAGGCCCUGCUUUUGUGGGUUGCUCGAGUGGCGAACGGGUGAGUAACACGUGAGUAACCUGCCCUUGACUUUCUGAUAACUUCAGGAAACUGCGGCUAAUAUCCGAUAGAAGCUACUGCUCCAUGUGGGGCGUUGGUAAGUUUCGGCUGUAGUGGCUGUACUCGCGGCUUAUGAGCUUGUUUGUCGGGUAGUUGCUUUCCAAGCCUUUGAAGGGUAGCCUGCCUGAGAGGGUGACCGGCGACAUUGGGACUGAGAUACGGCGCAGACGCGUACGGGAGGCAGCAGUCGGGAAUAUUGCACAAUGGGCGGACGCGUGAUGCAGCAAUGUCGCGUGCGGAAUGACGGCUUUCGGGUUGUAAACAGCUUUCGCAUGUGACGAAGAGUGAGUGACGGUAAUGGGUAAAGAAGCAACGGCUAACUACGUG